rnacentral:rRNA from 1 species
AUGUGCAGUUAUGGCGGUGGCGACGUCGAUGACUGGUAUGAUGAUUCUGAUACGGAUGACCACGCCGAAGACACGGGCGAUGACAGGCACCAUCAGCAAGGAGCAAGGAACUCCGAUUUGGACCUGGAUGAUGAAGAUCGGACCUUUUUGAGUCAGUUUCCAGAUACUUGGGGGGCAGCGCCCACUAGAAAAGAAAAAGACAUCCAAGGAAUACAAUGGGAGAGGCUGGCUAUCACACGUGAAUGGUACAGACAGACCAGAUUGCAGGAGUACAAAAACUAUGAGAACAUUCCUAAUUCUGGAGAAGAAGCAGCCGAGGAAUGCAAACAGACUGAGAAAGACGGAAUGUAUUACGAAUUCAGAAAAAAUACUAGAUCUGUAAAGUCAACUAUACUACAUUUCCAGCUGAGAAAUUUAGUAUGGGCGACAUCCAAGCAUGAUGUCUACCUGAUGUCACAUUACUCAGUCCUUCACUGGUCUGCAUUGAGUGGUGUGGAUACUGAACUUAUGAACGUCCAAGGUCAUGUGGCACCAAAGGAGAAGCACCCAGGAAGUCUAUUAGAGGGGUUUUCUCAGACCAAGGUUAGUACCAUGGCAGUCAAGGACAAUUUGCUGGUAGCUGGCGGAUUUCAAGGGGAGCUAAUCUGCAAGCACCUUGAUCGAGAAGGGAUAAGCUUUUGUUGUCGAACAUCACAUGAUGAUAAUGCUCUUACUAAUGCAAUCGAGAUAUUCAAUACUUCUAGUGGCGCUGUUCAUUUCAUGGCAUCGAGUAAUGACAACGGUGUAAGAGACUAUGACAUGGAGAGAUUCCAGUUGUGCAAUCACUUUCAGUUUGAUUGUCCAGUGAAUGCAAGUCCCUUUGGUUAUUUCUUUUAG